rnacentral:rRNA from 1 species
CAGCCGCCGCGGGAAUACGUAGGGUGCGAGCGUUAAUCGGAAUUACUGGGCGUAAAGCGAGCGCAGACGGUUAUUUAAGCAGGAUGUGAAAUCCCCGGGCUUAACCUGGGAACUGCGUUCUGAACUGGAUAGCUAGAGUGUGUCAGAGGGGGGUAGAAUUCCACGUGUAGCAGUGAAAUGCGUAGAAAUGUGGAGGAAUACCGAUGGCGAAGGCAGCCCCCUGGGAUAACACUGACGUUCAUGCUCGAAAGCGUGGGUAGCAAACAGGAUUAGAUACCCGAGUAGUCCCUGUCUCUUAUAC